UACGUAGGGUGCAAGCGUUAAUCGGAAUUACUGGGCGUAAAGCGUGCGCAGGCGGUGAUGUAAGACAGAUGUGAAAUCCCCGGGCUCAACCUGGGAACUGCAUUUGUGACUGCACGGCUGGAGUGCGGCAGAGGGGGAUGGAAUUCCGCGUGUAGCAGUGAAAUGCGUAGAUAUGCGGAGGAACACCGAUGGCGAAGGCAAUCCCCUGGGCCUGCACUGACGCUCAUGCACGAAAGCGUGGGGAGCAAACAGG
rnacentral:rRNA from 1 species